GGCGGUCUCCUCCUAAAGAGUAACGGAGGAGCACGAAGGUUGGCUAAUCCUGGUCGGACAUCAGGAGGUUAGUGCAAUGGCAUAAGCCAGCUUGACUGCGAGCGUGACGGCGCGAGCAGGUGCGAAAGCAGGUCAUAGUGAUCCGGUGGUUCUGAAUGGAAGGGCCAUCGCUCAACGGAUAAAAGGUACUCCGGGGAUAACAGGCUGAUACCGCCCAAGAGUUCAUAUCGACGGCGGUGUUUGGCACCUCGAUGUCGGCUCAUCACAUCCUGGGGCUGAAGUAGGUCCCAAGGGUAUGGCUGUUCGCCAUUUAAAGUGGUACGCGAGCUGGGUUUAGAACGUCGUGAGACAGUUCGGUCCCUAUCUGCCGUGGGCGCUGGAGAACUGAGGGGGGCUGCUCCUAGUACGAGAGGACCGGAGUGGACGCAUCACUGGUGUUCGGGUUGUCAUGCCAAUGGCACUGCCCGGUAGCUAAAUGCGGAAGAGAUAAGUGCUGAAAGCAUCUAAGCACGAAACUUGCCCCGAGAUGAGUUCUCCCUGACCCUUUAAGGGUCCUGAAGGAACGUUGAAGACGACGACGUUGAUAGGCCGGGUGUGUAAGCGCAGCGAUGCGUUGAGCUAACCGGUACUAAUGAACCGUGAGG
rnacentral:rRNA from 1 species